UCACCCCUCGUCCCCCCCCCCCCGGUGGCCCCGUCCCUCUCUUCGUCUCCUCCGCUGGACGUCCUGGCCCUAUAACAUCCCCUGCUGCCCCUCAAGGCGUCCCCUCGGCCGGGAGAAGGGGAAGGGCCGAGCGAGACUUUCCAUUCUGUGCAAGGCACCUGAGAAUUAUUUUCCAGUUGAAGGCUCUUCCUGGUAAGCCACAUGACGGUCAGAAGUCUCACUGGCUGCAGUGAAGUUAACACUGGGAUAACUUCUGCAGAUCAAACCCUACAAUUUGGAAAUUACACCUCUGACUCAAGCUCCUUGUUGUAGCUCCCUGUGCCUGCAGAGAGCCCUGGUGGCUCUAAGAUGCCAAACCGCAGCUCCUGCCCGGGCAGGGUUUCACUUGCAUCUAAACACAACCAACCACCUUCAUGGCGGCACAUCAGGGUUAUGCUGCACAACUGCACUUGAGCAGUUGUACUUGGCCAUCCUCAGUUCCAGCUCACAGCGAGAGCAUCAUGGUGUUUUUGAUUGCGUGCCUUUCCAGUACAACACUCUAACAGCUAAUCCAGCCAGCCUUAAAAUUCAGUGGGAAUCUCUCCACUGAUUCAAGCAGCAGUGGCAUCGAGAGAGCAAGAAAUGGGAUUCUGACCUGUUCAAAUUUACAAGGAUCUUGAAGCUGGAGUUGCCAUUCCCAAACUCACAUUAUUCCCAGACUCUCAAAUUCACUCAUGUUUCUUUCCUCAGUAGCCCAUAGAACCCAUCUUAGAAGUAGCACGUACUGUAUUUCUUCAGGCAUUUAAUCCCUUGUUCCAGAAAGCAACCAGCCAGCUGUAUCGUCACUACAGGAAGUUAAAACUCUUUCACAAAAGCAUGUCUGUCUGGAUCCAUCAUAGCUGAAGGGGCUUUCCAUGUACAGGCUAUGCAGAAUCUAUGAUAAUUACUUUCAUAUAAUACUUGUGGCUGAAUCCUCACAACUACUUGUAUGUCAAUUACCUGAAAAAAGAGGCCUGUGUAGUUCUGGGAGGUAGUCACAUCUCUGGAACAUCCACAGCAGCAAGAAACUGUAUGAAUCCUGUGAAAUUUACACGUAGCAAAACAGUAUUUCUAGGCCUGUAGGACAGAACUGCCUUAAUGCAGAUCUUUGAUUGUAACAAUCACUAGCAGCAUUGUCAUCAGCAGCUUCUUAAAUAAUGAGAUUAAACUGUCAUAAAGCAUAGGAUGCUCAUUACUGUUUUAGGGUACAAUACCCAGUGACUGUUACCAGACCUCAGAAGACUAGCUCAUUUCCAGAGACAUUUGUUGUGUGCUAGAAGUAUGCAAUCAGUGACACAACACCAGCUGCACUGAUGUGACCUAUCAGGAUUCACUGGCAUUUGAAUAAGCUCAUAUAUACCAAAGAUGGCCACAGUAGGAAGUGUCAAUAAAUAUAAGAAUGUAAUACUUUGUAACAUAAAACAGAGGUGCAAUUUCCACUCGAUUCAUUAAAAAAUGUUAGCAAACUUCUUUUUGUAUGUACACUGAUGAAACAUCCAUCUCCCCUAGAUUGUUUAAAAUUCUUGGGUGAAUAUUACAAAAUAGGCUAUUCUGAUUGUAUUUUGAGAGGUCAGUGGAGAAACAACAAUAAGUGUACCUCAUAGUUUCCUUGGAUCAAUGAUUCUUCUCUAUAGCAUGCUGUCAUUGAAUGCUAGCCAUGCAGACCACAGGAAAGAGCGGGAUGACAACAAGCUGUGAUUCAUGCCAGAAUGUGGGACGUAGCAUGCUGAAAACAGAAAAAAAAUAAAUAAAAGCCCAGAUUUUUUAAAGAGUUUUCCAGGUGUUAAUUGUUAAUUGUUCAGCAGCAAUAACCAUCUCAACACAAAUAAUAUCCAGGAAUUAGAGGCUCAAGGUUGCAUUUCAGGCCACAGGCUCUUCACAGCUUGUUACUAAUCUGCUGGAAAUUCCCUGAAUGACAGCUGCGGUUGCCUAAUUGUUUCUAUAGGUAAAUGUGUUUAUUCUACAGGCUUAUGUUAAAGCUAUAUGCGUGACAGGAUUAUAAAACAGGGUAGGUGUUGCUCCUGGGCUAAAGCUUCCACCAUACUUUCAUCUGAAAGUUAAUUUGUGCAUCUGAGUCAUAAAACCUCUUCAAAAGGAAGCAUAAGAAAGAAGUGUUUCCACAUCCUCAUAAUCAAGUUUUU